rnacentral:rRNA from 1 species
AUGAACGCUAGCGGCAGGCCUAAUACAUGCAAGUCGUACGGCAACACAGUUGCGAGCAAUCGCAACCGGUGGCGAGUGGCGCACGGGUGAGUAACGCGUAUGUAACCUACCCUUCUCCGGGACAUAACUCCGCGAAAGCGGUGCUAAUAUCCCAUACCAACUCAUCAAGACAUCUCUUGAGUUGAAAGCAGCAAUGCGGUGAAGGAUGGGCAUGCGUCCCAUUAGCUGGUUGGUGAGGUAAUGGCCCACCAAGGCUACGAUGGGUAGGGUUCUGAGAGGAAAGCCCCCCACACUGGUACUGAGACACGGACCAGACUCCUACGGGAGGCAGCAGAUAAGAAUAUUCCGCAAUGGACGGAAGUCUGACGGAGCGACGCCGCGUGGAUGAAGAAGGCCGAAAGGUUGUAAAGUUCUUUUGCUAGGGGAGAAUAAGUGUGGGAGGGAAUGCCUGCACGAUGACAAGGACUAGCGAAUAAGUCCCGGCCAAACUACGUGCC